UAUCUAUACACAAUUUCAUCCACCUGGCUUCAUUUGCGGAGUGUAUAGAAGUGUUAAAAAUCACCCUUCACCUACAACAACAUGGUUAAAUUCAAAUUGAAAUUUAACCAAAUUUUUAUCAUUUGUACGCUUUGGCAAACUUUUAUCACUUCAGUUCACCUAAAAAAUAGCUCUUGAUUUCGUAAUCUGUGCUUAUUUAACCCAUAGGGAACCAUUAAAAAUGUUCAACAGUAGCAGGAAAAAUAUAACAUUAAUGUAUAUAUACACAACGC